rnacentral:rRNA from 1 species
CCAGCUUGGCGUUGGUUGUCCAAGUUUAAGGUGGUAGGCUGAAAUCUUAGGUAAAUCCGGGGUUUCAAUGCCGAGAGCUGAUGACGAGUCGUCUUUUAGAUGACGAAGUGGUUGAUGCCAUGCUUCAAGAAAAGCUCAAGCUNCAGGUAACCAGGAACCGUACCCCAAACCGACACAGGUGGUCGGGUAGAGAAUACCAAGGCGCUUGAGAGAACUCGGGUGAAGGAACUAGGCAAAUGGCACCGUAACUCGGGAGAAGGUGCGCCGCUAGUGAAGGAUUUACUCCGUAAGCUCUGGCUGGUCGAAGAUACCAGGCCGCUGCGACUGUUUANAAAAACACAGCACNNCCAAACACGAAAGUGGACGUAUAGGGUGACGCCUGCCCAGUGCCGGAAGUUAAUUGAUGGGGUUAGCGCAAGCAGCUCUUGAUCGAAGCCCGUAAACGGCGGCCGUAACGAUAACGGUCCAAGGUGAAAUUCCUUGUCGGGUAAGUUCCGACCUGCACGAAUGGCGUAACGAUGGCGGCGCUGUCUCCACCCGAGACUCAGUGAGNNUGAAAUCGCUGUGAAGAUGCAGUGUAUCCGCGGCUAGACGGAAAGACCCCGUGAACCUUUACUGUGGCUUUGCACUGGACUUUGAGCCUGCUUGUGUAGGAUAGGUGGGAGGCUUUAGCGUGGACGCCAGUUCGCGUGGAGCCAUCCUUGAAACNCACCCUGGCAUGCUUGAAGUUCUAACUCUGGUCCGUAAUCCGGAUCGAGGACAGUGUAUGGUGGGCAGUNUGANUAGGCGGUCUCCUCUAAAGAGUAACAGAGUACGAAGGUGCGCUCAGACCGGUCGGAAAUCGNNNGCAGAGUAUAGCAAANNGCGCUUGACUGCGAGACAGACACGUCGAGCAGUACNAAAGUAGGUCUUAGUGAUCCGGUGGUUCUGUAUGGAAGGGCCAUCGCUCAACGGAUAAAAGGUACUCCGGGGAUAACAGGCUGAUACCGCCCAAGAGUUCAUAUCGACGGCGGUGUUUGGCACCUCGAUGUCGGCUCAUCACAUCCUGGGGCUGAAGCCGGUCCCAGGGUAUGGCUGUUCGCCAUUUAAAGUGGUACGCGAGCUGGGGUUUAGAACGUCGUGAGACAGUUCGGUCCCUAUCUGCCGUGGACGUUUGAGAUUUGAGAGGGCUGCUCCUAGUACGAGGAAGGACCGGAGUGGACGAACCUCUGGUGUUCCGGUUGUCACGCCAGUGGCAUUGCCGGGUAUGUUCGGAAAAGAUAACCGCUGAAAGCAUCUAAGCGGGAAACUUGCCUCAAGAUGAGAUCUCACUGGGAACUUGAUUCCCUGAAGGGCCGUCGAAGACUACGACGUUGAUAGGGCUGGGUGUGUAAGCGUUGUGAGGCGUUGAGCUAACCAGUACUAAUUGCCC